UACGUAGGGUGCGAACGUUGUUCGGAAUCACUGGGCAUAAAGGGCGCGUAGGCGGUCCAUUAAGUCCUUUGUGAAAGCCCCCGGCUCAACCGGGGAAUAGCAGGGGAUACUGUUGGGCUAGAGUGCAGGAGGGGAGAGCGGAAUUCCUGGUGGAGCGGUGAAAUGCGUAGAUAUCAGGAGGAACGCCGGUGGCGAAAGCGGCUCUCUGGUCUGUUACUGACGCUGGGGCGCGAAAGCUAGGGGAGCAAACGGG
rnacentral:rRNA from 1 species